AUGGCGAUCGUGUACGCGCUCGUGGCGCGGGGCACGGUCGUGCUGGCCGAGUUCGCCGCCGUCUCGGGCAACGCCGGCGCCGUCGCCCGUCGCAUCCUCGAGAAGCUCCCCUCCGAGGCCGAGGCGCGCCUCUGCUUCGCGCAGGACCGCUACAUCUUCCACGUCCUCCGCUCCCCCGCCGACGGCCUCACCUUCCUCUGCAUGGCCAACGACACCUUCGGACGGAGAGUUCCCUUCAUUUAUCUCGAGGACAUCCAGAUGAGGUUCAUGAAGAACUAUGGCAGGGUCGCCCAUUCCGCGCUGGCCUAUGCCAUGAACGACGAGUUUGCCAGGGUGCUCCACCAGCAAAUGGAGUUCUUCUCCAGUAACCCCAGCGCCGACACGCUCAACCGCCUCCGGGGCGAAGUCAGCGAGAUACACACCGUCAUGGUUGACAACAUAGAGAAGAUUCUUGACAGAGGCGACCGCAUCUCGCUUCUUGUAGACAAGACCUCCACAAUGCAGGAUAGUGGCUUUCACUUCCGCAAGCAAUCCAAGAGGCUUCGGAGAGCUCUCUGGAUGAAGAAUGUCAAGCUUCUAGCGGUGUUGACAGCGGUCAUUGUGCUGCUACUUUACCUGAUCAUUGCGGCUUUCUGCGGAGGCCUAUCCCUUCCAUCGUGCAGAUCAUAA
rnacentral:rRNA from 1 species